ensembl:antisense Gm10550 predicted gene 10550
GAGGAAGAACUGCAAACCCAGGCACUACCAAUCCUGUGACAUGCAAGAUUCCUGAGUUGUGCAGUGACACUUGGCAAGCGAAAGGAGACCCAAGACUACAGGACUCUCUGAUGGUCUGCUGCUGAACAAUGACCACUGAGAGCAAGCACAGGAAAUGUGGAGCCCAGAGAGACCUGACACACAGCAGGAGAACCUCUCCUAUUCAGCCCUCUUUCGGUCCAUGGGCUCACGAGGGACAGACGGCCUCUCUCGCGUGUGCUUGGAGGAGAAACUAUAUGAAUGAAGUGAGCCAAUGAACUUGCAAGCUCCAGAUCCCGGAGGUGUGAAGUCGUCCAUAGAAAUGCCGCUCUUGUCUGCCCCCUCAGCGUCGGUGGAGGAAGAGGCCUUCUGGUGGUCAGCCUCUGUAGCAGACGCUUGUGCCUCUUCCUGGCCUCUGGCCAAUGGGGCAGCCGGGUCAUCUCCUGGAGUUUUUUCCAGAGACUGACCCUGCUCCUGGCUGACAGCACCUGGGGUGACCUUGGGGGCUGCAUCAUCUUGUGGAGAAGCUCGCUUCAACUUUCGGGACUCUGGCUUGGCCAUCAAGUUAUCACUUGAAGACAGUGAAGAUCCUAUGGUUCCUUUCCCUGUCUCUGCGCUUGUGUGGCCCCUCAUGGCCGCUGUGGUCUUUCUCCUAGCAUGGCCAUGUCCUCCAGCCCCCCUCUUCUUCUCUGACAGGUGGAAAAUAGAGGGUACAGCCGUGGGCUUCAGCAGGCGAUGCUGGUCCUCCAGUCUUUUGGAGAAGCUGUCUUUGGUAAAAUGCUCACUACAGAGGAAUGAAUACUUAGUCGGGGUCCAAUUAUCCCUCUGAACAGCUUUUAACCACUGGAUCAGUCGUUUGGAGUCCUUUAGGGGAAACCUUCAAGACAAAUGACAAAGUACUUAGAAAUAUUGACAUGCAUUCUUCUAAAACUAUCAUCAAUAAAAGCAAAUCAAGUAUUUCUGC